AGACAUUGCAAUGCAGACACAUAAGAUUAGAAGCAACACGCAGGAGGCUGGGAGUUACCUUUCGUGGAAGGGUAAGCAGGAAGCAACUACAAGAUCAUCAUUUCAAAACAAUAUGAAAGCAGAAUGGGAAAUGCCAUGGCACGCUCCCUCUUUUCAGGAGGCAAUAUGGACACUUUGGGGAAGUUAUGAAGCGUCUCCCAUUCCCGCUUGAGGUACUCAAUAGAGCCCACAAACACAAUGUGCUUGAGCUCAUGGUAAUGAAAGUUGCUGGCACGGAGCGGCAUCACCAGGUUCCGGAGGCCGAUCAGGGCUGAGCUGACAUCGCCAAAGAUGCAGACCACGACAUGGCCACUCAGGACGGUCAUGGCAGCUUCACUUCGAGUCUACAACAGGGAGAAGUGGGUAAGAGUCAGAGAGAAGACUGCAUAGGGCUGUUGUAAGGAGUGAAAAAAAUCAUCUGUGCAAAGAA
rnacentral:lncRNA from 1 species